GACGAACGCUGGCGGCGUGCUUAACACAUGCAAGUCGAACGGUGAUGCCCCAGCUUGCUGGCGUGGAUCAGUGGCGAACGGGUGAGUAACACGUGAGCAACCUGCCCCAGACUCUGGAAUAAGCGCUGGAAACGGCGUCUAAUACUGGAUACGAAACUGGCCCGCAUGGGCAUGGUUUGGAAAGUUUUUCGGUUUGGGAUGGGCUCGCGGCCUAUCAGCUUGUUGGUGAGGUAAUGGCUCACCAAGGCGACGACGGGUAGCCGGCCUGAGAGGGCGACCGGCCACACUGGGACUGAGACACGGCCCAGACUCCUACGGGAGGCAGCAGUGGGGAAUAUUGCACAAUGGGCGAAAGCCUGAUGCAGCGACGCCGCGUGAGGGAUGACGGCCUUCGGGUUGUAAACCUCUUUCAGCAGGGAAGAAGCGAAAGUGACGGUACCUGCAGAAGAAGCACCGGCUAACUACGUG
rnacentral:rRNA from 1 species